rnacentral:rRNA from 1 species
GACGAACGCUGGCGGCGUGCCUAAUACAUGCAAGUAGAACGCUGAAGGAGGAGCUUGCUUCUCUGGAUGAGUUGCGAACGGGUGAGUAACGCGUAGGUAACCUGCCUGGUAGCGGGGGAUAACUAUUGGAAACGAUAGCUAAUACCGCAUAAUAGUAGAUGUUGCAUGACAUUUGCUUAAAAGGUGCAAUUGCAUCACUACCAGAUGGACCUGCGUUGUAUUAGCUAGUUGGUGGGGUAACGGCUCACCAAGGCGACGAUACAUAGCCGACCUGAGAGGGUGAUCGGCCACACUGGGACUGAGACACGGCCCAGACUCCUCGGGGAGGCAGCAGUAGGGAAUCUUCGGCAAUGGACGGAAGUCUGACCGAGAAACGCCGCGGGGGUGAAGAAGGUUUUCGGAUCGGAAAGCUUUUUUGUAAGGGAAGAACGGGUGUGAGAGUGGAAAGUUCACACUGGGGCGGUUUUUUCCCAGAAAGGGACGGCUAACUACGU